rnacentral:rRNA from 1 species
AUGGGUAAGUUGCUAGCCUUGAAGCAACUAUAUGGUGAUUGGGAUAUCAGCUUUGACAAUUUGUAUAGGUUUAAGGCACAAGUUGAAAGUUGUUGCCCCGGUAGCAUAGUGCAGAUUGAUCAUCACACAAUAAAUGGUAAAAUCAGGUUUAGAAGAAUUUUUGUUGCUAUGAAACCUUGCAUAGAGGGGUUCCCUAGUGGUUGCAGACCAUAUUUGGCAAUAGAUAGCACAUUCUUGACAGGCAGAUUCAAGGGGCAGCUGGCUAGUGCUACCGCCAUUGAUGGCCAUAAUUGGAUAUAUCUGGUUAGUUUUGGAGUCUUUGAUUCUGAAACAAACGAGAAUUGGAUUUGGUUGAUGUAA